rnacentral:lncRNA from 1 species
AUGGGACAUCAGCCUCUUGCCCACCAUGGUCCCUCAGAAACUGGCUGCUCCUUCAUUCUCUGGCCACAGACCUUUGCCAUAUCUCAUCACUGCAUGCCACACUGGACCUCGUUCUCAACCCAUUGGAUUGGUCACCAUGUGUGCUGGGAACCAAAGAAAAGCUACUUUGAAGUGGACACCCUGUGCCAGCUUCUCACACAGGAAAAGAGAAGACUCUGGAAUCUUUUGGAAUUUUGGAACAGAUGCACAUCUGUGAUAGACACAGCGCUUAUCUUCAUUAGGCACUUGCCAUAG